GACGAACGCUGGCGGCGUGCUUACACAUGCAAGUCGAACGGAAAGGCCCUGCUUUUGUGGGGUGCUCGAGUGGCGAACGGGUGAGUAACACGUGAGUAACCUGCCCUUGACUUUGGGAUAACUUCAGGAAACUGGGGCUAAUACCGGAUAGGAGCUCCUGCUGCAUGGUGGGGGUUGGAAAGUUUCGGCGGUUGGGGAUGGACUCGCGGCUUAUCAGCUUGUUGGUGGGGUAGUGGCUUACCAAGGCUUUGACGGGUAGCCGGCCUGAGAGGGUGACCGGCCACAUUGGGACUGAGAUACGGCCCAGACUCCUACGGGAGGCAGCAGUGGGGAAUAUUGCACAAUGGGCGGAAGCCUGAUGCAGCAACGCCGCGUGCGGGAUGACGGCCUUCGGGUUGUAAACCGCUUUCGCCUGUGACGAAGCGUGAGUGACGGUAAUGGGUAAAGAAGCACCGGCUAACUACGUGCCAGCAGCCGCGGUGAUACGUAGGGUGCGAGCGUUGUCCGGAUUUAUUGGGCGUAAAGGGCUCGUAGGUGGUUGAUCGCGUCGGAAGUGUAAUCUUGGGGCUUAACCCUGAGCGUGCUUUCGAUACGGGUUGACUUGAGGAAGGUAGGGGAGAAUGGAAUUCCUGGUGGAGCGGUGGAAUGCGCAGAUAUCAGGAGGAACACCAGUGGCGAAGGCGGUUCUCUGGGCCUUUCCUGACGCUGAGGAGCGAAAGCGUGGGGAGCGAACAGGCUUAGAUACCCUGGUAGUCCACGCUGUAAACGGUGGGUACUAGGUGUGGGGUCCAUUCCACGGGUUCCGUGCCGUAGCUAACGCUUUAAGUACCCCGCCUGGGGAGUACGGCCGCAAGGCUAAAACUCAAAGGAAUUGACGGGGCCCCGCACAAGCGGCGGAGCAUGCGGAUUAAUUCGAUGCAACGCGUAGAACCUUACCUGGGUUUGACAUGGAUCGGGAGCGCUCAGAGAUGGGUGUGCCUCUUUUGGGGUCGGUUCACAGGUGGUGCAUGGCUGUCGUCAGCUCGUGUCGUGAGAUGUUGGGUUAAGUCCCGCAACGAGCGCAACCCUUGUUCACUGUUGCCAGCACGUUAUGGUGGGGACUCAGUGGAGACCGCCGGGGUCAACUCGGAGGAAGGUGGGGAUGACGUCAAGUCAUCAUGCCCCUUAUGUCCAGGGCUUCACGCAUGCUACAAUGGCUGGUACAGAGAGUGGCGAGCCUGUGAGGGUGAGCGAAUCUCGGAAAGCCGGUCUCAGUUCGGAUUGGGGUCUGCAACUCGACCUCAUGAAGUCGGAGUCGCUGGUAAUCGCAGAUCAGCAACGCUGCGGUGAAUACGUUCCCGGGGCU
rnacentral:rRNA from 1 species